rfam:Pteropus alecto contig29287, whole genome shotgun sequence.
UGGUUUGGCCAUGCCACCCUGAACAAGCCUAAUAUCUGAUCUCGGAAGCUAAGCAGGGUCGGGCCUGGUUAGUACUUGGAUGGGAGACCACCUAGGAAGACUAGGUGCUGUAGGCA